rnacentral:rRNA from 1 species
GACGAACGCUGGCGGCGUGCUUAACACAUGCCAGUCGAACGGAAAGGCCCUGCUUUUGUUGGGUGCUCGAGUGGCGAACGGGUGAGUAACACGUGAGUAACCUGCCCUUGACUGUGGGAUAACUUCAGGAAACUGGGGCUAAUACCGGAUAGGAGCUCCUGCUGCAUGGUGGGGGUUGGAAAGUUUCGGCGGUUGGGGCUGGACUCGCGGCUUAUCAGCUUGUUGGUGGGGUAGUGGCUUACCAAGUCUUUGACGGGUAGCCGGCCUGGGAGGGUGACCGGCCACCAUGGGACUGCGAUACGGCGCAGACUCCUACGGGACGCAGCAGUGGGGAAUAUUGCAGAAUGGGCGGAAGCCUGAUGCAGCAACGCCGCGUGCGGGAUGACGGCCUUCGGGUUGUAAACCGCUUUCGCCUGUGACGAAGCGUGAGUGACGGUAAUGGGUAAAGAAGCACCGGCUAACUACGUG